UACGUAGGGGGCAAGCGUUGUCCGGAUUUAUUGGGCGUAAAGCGCUCGCAGGUGGUUCGAUGCGUCGUGCGUGAAAGACCCCGGCUUAACUGGGGAGGGUCGUGCGAUACGGUCGAACUGGAGGCCAGUAGGGGGAUGCGGAAUUCCGGGUGUAGUGGUGGAAUGCGUAGAGAUCCGGAGGAACACCAGCGGCGAAGGCGGCAUCCUGGACUGGUCCUGACACUCAUGAGCGAAAGCGGUGGGGAGCGAUCCGG
rnacentral:rRNA from 1 species